GAUAAGAACGUAGCGAAAUGCGAUAAGUAGUGUGAAUUGCAGAAUUCAGUGAAUCAUCGAAUCUUUGAACGCACAUUGCGCCCUUUGGUAUUCCAAAGGGCAUGCCUGUUCGAGCGUCAUUUGUACCCUCAAGCUUUGCUUGGUGUUGGGCGUCUUGUCUCUAGCUUUGCUGGAGACUCGCCUUAAAGUAAUUGGCAGCCGGCCUACUGGUUUCGGAGCGCAGCACAAGUCGCACUCUCUAUCAGCAAAGGUCUAGCAUCCAUUAAGCCUUUUUUUCAACUUUUGACCUCGGAUCAGGUAGGGAUACCCGCUGAACUUAAGCAUAUCAAUAAGCGGAGGA
rnacentral:misc_RNA from 1 species